UUUUGUUAAUCGAGGAACCAAGAUUCAUUUAUGUCUUUUACAAAAAGGGCAUACGAAAAGAGACGCAGUAGACGUGUCCAAAAAGAAUAUUAAUAAAUACUAGAAUUUUCGUCAGUACAUAUAAAAAAAAAAAUCGAAUGUUGGAACUUCUAAAAAAAAUGAUUUCUUAUCUUGCGAAAAUCUAAAAGAAUAUUUUGACCAUCGUGAGUCAUCGAUUUUGUACAAUGAAUACUCUUAUGACCAAAAGCCUAAUGAGUAUAAGCAUAACCCAACUUUAAAGGAAAGUUUUUCUGCAUGUUUUUCUAACCAAGUAAUUAUGCACUAAAGAAGUGGGUUGACAAAGAAUAGCAACAAAUUUAUUGUCCCAAAAAAAAACUAUAAUCAUGCACUAAAAAACAACCUUUCGUCAACAAAAGAAUGGCACAAAUUUCCAUUGAUAAAGUGUAAGAUAGCAGAUAGUCAGUAUCUAACUUGUUUUGUGUUUUUUUUAAAGAGAUGCAAAAUGUUAUUCUCAAUGAGCUUGCAGAAAUAAAAGUUCUUUUAAAAGAAGUUAUAGAAAUUAAGUUUCAGGCUACUGGGGUGAAGUUGCUAGAAUCAGUGGACAAAGUGGUUACACUGGAUAAUAAACUAAAAGAUAAAACCGACUUGAUAGUUUGAAAAAGAUUGGUGGUGGAAAGCCAAGAGAACAUGUUUUUUUGAUCAUGAAAAGGUUAUUUUCGAAUCAGUUACAGUCCAAAUUAAAUCGAAAAGGAAAUGGGGAAAAGAUAAACUUAGAAAAUCUAGUAAAUAUAUGGAGUGUUUUAGGAGAUAUCGGCGACGUGGAAGAAAAUGUUGACGGCAAUGCAGAAAUAUAGUUUCUUAUGUAUAUUUUUGUGAAAUAAAAAUUAAGUAAUGUUAGUUAAAA
rnacentral:misc_RNA from 1 species